rnacentral:lncRNA from 1 species
CUGGAUGGUACCUCCCGCCGGCGGUGCGGGCACUUUCUGAACUAGGAAGGAAGGGGCGACUCGGGGGGGCUGGGAGGGGGGGGCGCCGCCGAAGUCCGUAUGGAAUUACCUGCGGCCGCGGCGGAUGGACGGGCGUCGCGUCCCCGGCACUCGCGGCCAGCGCAGCAGCAGCCCCGGCAGUGAACGCGGGGCUCCUCCGGCCGAGUGCGCAGUGUGGCGGCGGCGGCGGCGGCGGUGGUGGUGGUGGUGGUAGUGAGCGGCGCUCGCCUCGCUGGACGGAUCGCACCGGAGGGAUAUUUCGGAAGACUCCCGCGGGGAGCAGCUGUGGAAAGACAGAAGAUGAAAGCUCCCAUUCCAAAUUUGAUUCUCUUGUAUGCUACUCUAACUCAGAGCUUGAAGGUUGUGACCAAAAGAGGAUCAGCUCAUCUGGAAAUUUUCCCUCUCCACUUUUGAGGUGUUACUGAACUUCUCAACUUGACAGUUUCUGUGAGUAGAAUGUCCUUCCUCUAGUUACUUUUCAAGUUUAUUGCUGUUGACAAUCAAACUACCCAAUAAUCUUUAGAAUAGAUUCUCAGCAGAUGUAAAUCUCUUCAAAUUCAAGGAACCCAGUAGAUUCUCAGGGCCUUUCAUCCCACUGUGUUGCUUUACCUCAGAGCAAGAAAGCAAAAUGACAAAUCACUCCUCAAUUGUAGCCAUUAGGAAUCAUCUGUAUAUUUAAAAAUAUCUGGAACUUUUAUCUGCUUUCUCACAAUAAUGAUUUUAACAUUGUAUUGCCUUUAUUAAGCACAGAAAGUGCAAUUAUUGAACUCCAUUAUUUUAUGAAAUGCCCUACGGACAUCAAAAUUCAGACGCUCAUCUGUGUCACAGGUCCUGUGUCAUUCAUGUCCCAGACAAGGAGGGUUAAAAUUUGCUGCUGGCCUAAUUUUACUAGAACAAAAUUUCAAAUUGCUCCUCUACCAUCUCUUCUUAUCUGUGUAGCUUCAAUUCUCUGGUGAGGAAAUGCUCCCUGAGCCAAGUUUUCAACAGAGUGCAUAAGGAAUGACAGCAGAUGUUGCAUUGCAUUAGUCUUGAGAAAAUGUCUUGUUCAGUAACAGUUGAACCCUUCACUUUUAAUGUCUUUCCUAUUGUUUAGACAUUUAUAAAUUUGCAUUAAAAAUGAAAAAUAAUGAAGUGGUGAUGUUAGAGAUAAAUUAGUUUUGCCUGCAGGUCAGCUAGACUAUGGAUGAAUGUUAACUUCUGCAAUUUUCAUAAGUUUAAAGGCAGUUUCUAAUCUUUAGGGAGAGACUAAGUUUCCCUCUGUGUUUACAAAAACAGCAUGUAAAGAUUGAAAUUGUUGGAGCUAUGGACUAAGUCCAACUUCCUAGUUUAAAAGCAAAAUGUCAUUUUAAAUAUAAUGUGUCGGAAGUCAGAAUUUGACUUCUGAAAUCUCUUUUGGCUAUAGAAGAGGAUUCUGUUGUUGUUGUUGCUCUAUGCAUGGCUAUAUAGUGGUUAGUUUUACUGUGUUGUGCUGCACAUCCCUAUUAUGCUGAGAAAUUUUUCCAAAGUAAUAAAAUGUUUCCUGUAAUGUUAUUGUUCUUUGUG